GAGCGAGACUCUUCGGAGUCUAGCGGCGGACGGGUGAGUAACACGUGGGCAACCUGCCUGUAAGAUUGUGAUAUCACCGGGAAACCGGUGCCAAUAGCGGAUAAUCCUUUCCCUCACAUGAGGGAAAGCUGAAAGUCGGUUUCGGCUGACACUUACAGAUGGGCCCGCGGCGCAUUAGCUAGUUGGUGAGGU
rnacentral:rRNA from 1 species